rnacentral:rRNA from 1 species
GUACCAUAACCGACACAGGUGGGUAAGUAGAGUAUACUAAGGGGCGCGAGAUAACUCUCUCUAAGGAACUCGGCAAAAUAACUCCGUAACUUCGGGAGAAGGAGUGCCUUAUUCUUAAGGUUGCAAUAACAAGAUCCAAGCAACUGUUUAUCAAAAACACAGGUCUCCGCUAAGUCGUAAGACGAUGUAUGGGGGCUGACGCCUGCCCAGUGCCAGAAGGUUAAAGAAGUCGGUUAGCAAUAGCAAAGCUGGUAACUGAAGCCCUGGUGAACGGCGGCCGUAACGAUAACGGUCCUAAGGUAGCGAAAUUCCUUGUCGGGUAAGUUCCGACCCGCACGAAAGGCGUAAUGAUUUGGAUGCUGUCUCGGAGAGGGGCUCGGUGAAAUAGACUUGUCUGUGAAGAUGCGGACUACCUGCACCAGGACAGAAAGACCCUAUGAAGCUUUACUGUAACUUGAAAUUGAAAUUGGACUUUAUUCGCGCAGUAUAGGUGGGAGGCGUUGAUUAUAAUCUUGUGGGAUUAUUGGAGCCAUCAGUGAGAUACCACUCUUGUAAUGUUAGAUUUCUAACUUUGAAUCAUUAUCUGGUCAAAGGACAGUUUCAGGCGGGCAGUUUGACUGGGGCGGUCGCCUCCUAAACGGUAACGGAGGCGUACAAAGGUUUCCUCUGAACGGUUAGAAAUCGUAUCUAGAGUGUAAAGGCAUAAGGAAGCUUGACUGUGAGACCUACAAGUCGAGCAGGGACGAAAGUCGGUCUUAGUGAUCUGACGGUACUGAGUGGAAAGGCCGUCACUCAACGGAUAAAAGUUACUCUAGGGAUAACAGGCUGAUCUCCCCCAAGAGUUCACAUCGACGGGGAGGUUUGGCACCUCGAUGUCGGCUCAUCGCAUCCUGGGGCGGUAGUACGUCCCAAGGGUUGGGCUGUUCGCCCAUGAAAGCGGUACGCGAGCUGGGUUCAGAACGUCGUGAGACGGUUCGGUCCAUAUCCGGUGUAGGCGCUAGAAUAUUGAGAGGAGCCUUCUUUAGUACGAGAGGACCGAGAAGGACAUACCUCUGGUGUACCAGUUAUCGUGCCAACGGUAAACGCUGGGGAGCUAUGUAUGGAGUGAUAACCGCUGAAAGCAUCUAAGUGGGAAGCCCACCUCAAGAUAAGUAUUCUCAUCACGUAAGUGAGUAAGGUCACGGUAAGACUAACCGUUUGAUAGGCAUUAAGUGUAAGUACAGUAAUGUAUGUGCUGAGAUGUCCUAAUAGACCGAGGACUU